rnacentral:rRNA from 1 species
UACGGGGGGAGCAAGCGUUGUUCGGAUUUACUGGGCGUAGAGGGCGCGUAGGCGGCCAGUGCAAGUCAGUUGUGAAAUCUCCGAGCUUAACUCGGAAAGGUCAACUGAUACUGCUCGGCUAGAGUGCGGAAGGGGCAACUGGAAUUCUUGGUGUAGCGGUGAAAUGCGUAGAUAUCAAGAGGAACACCUGCGGCGAAGGCGGGUUGCUGGGCCGACACUGACGCUGAUGCGCGAAAGCUAGGGGAGCGAACGGG